rnacentral:rRNA from 1 species
AGUGAACGCUGGCGGUAUGCCUAACACAUGCAAGUCGAACGGCAGCACAGUAAGAGCUUGCUCCUACGGGUGGCGAGUGGCGGACGGGUGAGGAAUACACCGUAAUCUACUUUUUCGCGGGGGAUAACGUAGGGAAACUUACGCUAAUACCGCAUACGACCUACGGGUGAAAGCAGGGGAUCUUCGGACCUUUCGCGAUUGAAUGAGCCGAUGUCGGAUUAGCUAGUUGGCGGGGUAAAGGCCCACCAAGGCGACGAUCCGUAGCUGGUCUGAGUGGAUGAUCAGCCACACUGGAACUGGGACACGGUCCAGACUCCUACGGGGAGCAGCAGUGGGGAAUAUUGGACGAUGGGCGCAAGCCUGAUCCAGCCAUACCGCGUGGGUGAAGAAGGCCUUCGGGUUGUAAAGCCCUUUUGUUGGGAAAGAAAAGCAGCAGGUUAAUACCCCGCUGUUCUGACGGUACCCAAAGAAUAAGCACCGGCUAACUUCGUG